rnacentral:rRNA from 1 species
GCUCAGGACGAACGCUGGCGGCGCGCCUAACACAUGCAAGUCGAACGAGCGAGAGAGAGCUUGCUUUCUCGAGCGAGUGGCGAACGGGUGAGUAACGCGUGAGGAACCUGCCUCAAAGAGGGGGACAACAGUUGGAAACGACUGCUAAUACCGCAUAAGCCCACGACCCGGCAUCGGGUAGAGGGAAAAGGAGCAAUCCGCUUUGAGAUGGCCUCGCGUCCGAUUAGCUGGUUGGUGAGGUAACGGCCCACCAAGGCGACGAUCGGUAGCCGGACUGAGAGGUUGAACGGCCACAUUGGGACUGAGACACGGCCCAGACUCCUACGGGAGGCAGCAGUA